AUACCCGUACAAGGAUGAGGUCAUAAAAAGGCCCAGCAUCCUGAAUGUAAUGAAUAGAAGGAGGUGGGCAGAAGCAUGUCCAUGAGUUGAGGGAGCUGCUUGCCUGAACGCCUACUACAAGUGUAGUACUCUUUCAACAAUUUUAAGACACCGUGUCAACCUGAUGGUAGUUUAGACCAGACCAGGCUCAUGCUCCUGUAUUCCUGAAAGUGCUGUGCUCUGAAAGACUAUGAGGGAAGAGAGAGUUGGGGACUAACUGCCUGGCCUCAAAUGCAGAAGUAUGUAUUUUAUCUCCUGGACC
rnacentral:lncRNA from 10 species